ensembl:lncRNA
GCUACAGCUUCUCGUUUUUUGUGAAAAAGAUGAUACAGUAACUUCACUACUGUAGAACUUAUUUAUCUUUCUCUGUGUAACAGCUAUUAGUGAAGUCCCAAGGUCUAUUUGGAAGCAGAAACACAACUGUCCUGGGCCUGACCGGAGGAGAGUUUGGCUUCGGCUGCUGCCCUCAGCACGUUGGCAGAUCCUCAGACGCCGUCGUCUCUCCCUCCAUCGUCUUCUCACAUGCGAGGCCGAGCCAAGACGUGCUUCUGUCAACCUCCACAGCUCCGUGCCAUCAGCUGUGGGCCUCCCACUCUGACUACAGCCGACAGGGCCUUCCUCCAUCCGUUUAGGCUCGUUGGACAUAGUCGUUGUGAGGUUUUGGGGCUCAGAUGGAAGACACAUAGCACAGAGGUGCUGAAGAAGACGCGUUGUAAUCACAAAGAUGGAGGGAUGAUGUCAAUCACAGCAUCUACAGCGCAUGGAGGCCUCAAUGCAGCCAGAAUUGAACGAUCCUCGGUGUCAGAACAGGAGCCACCCUGCUUCUGCUUAGUCUGGAAACCAUUUCCUUUGCAGUCCGAUGGUCCCGACGUUGAUCUUGAGGACAGUCACUGGUGGAGUUCGUAUAUUUAUCGAAGCGCCAUCUCUCAUCUGAAUCCACGCCGUUUUCUUCACAAAAUUGUUUGGUGCUGAAACACGCACGUUUCAACAACAGCGCCGCUCAUCCGCAUGAAUAAUUCCGUCAUCAAAAUGUGCCUCCAAGCACGAGGAGACGCGGGCGCCGUCGUUUGACCAUUAUCCUGAUGCACGUGGUAAGAGAUACAGCUGUCAGAAAGGCCAAAUGGAGGAGCCAGGUUCAGCACCGGGUCAAACCCGAAACAAUUCACGGCUAACGUGACAGCGCUGUCGUCAGGGCCUGCGCCUCAGACGCAUUAGAGAGAAUCAUUAGGGAGUCACGGUGAAUGUCAUAUCAGAAAUCCUUAUGUUCAAAUACAUCCCGCCGUUUGUGUUGUCACUUUUAUUGUUAGUGUCACCUUUAGUGUUUAAUCCUCCAAACCUGUUAAAUAACGGCAUAAAAAAAAGAACUGGUUACAUUGUGUAUUUGCUGCGUUUGCUUGUCUGCAGCCCCACACGUUGUGAGGCAUACACAAACACGUGCGCCGUCGUCUGCGGCGCCAAUCGAAGCAAAGUGGGUCAAACAUUUUAGUGGAACUGUGUUUUGGAUUUGAUUGUAAUGUAGGAAAAUAUGAAUUGACAGUGUGUAUGAGCCAUUGUUAAACUUUAGAGGACGCUUUGCUCUUGAUUAAAUGUGACAUUUCAGAAACAGCUUUUGCUGAACAGUGUUUUUCCGUCUUGUGUUUAUCUCUUGUGGACAGCAGCCUUUCUAGUAUCACUGCGAUGAAUGCAGGCCGAGCGCGAGGCUGUAAUUACUGCAGAUAUUUUAGAAAGAUGUACAAAUACAGAUCUGGUCCAAACACACAAACUUGCUGACUCUCGUUCUGUUCGUACUCGACACAUGUUGCCGCGAACCCAAACAAAGAAGCGGUUUGAAGACAGCCGCCGUUCGGCCGCGGUUGUCAACCGGGCACGUGAUUUACGUCCAGCUGCGGCUCGGCUUCGCAUCGCCCGCUGCCCGUCGCGUUGUGAAGCGGAGGUGCUGCUCGCGGUUCGAUUGGAGCGGCGUGGAGCUGUG